AACCUGGUGGUUAAUACGAAAUAUAAGUGCUCAAUAUGGUUGGAUGAAAAUCAACAGAAAAAGGAGACACGUGUAAUUUUAUUAAUUGCUGAGAGGGUUUAAAUUACUGUGCAACGCAAGGGAUCGCCGUUCAAAGUGCUGGCACGCCUGCGGGCGUAGCUGAGCGAGAUGUGAUGAGGCAAAACAUCCGGCGAGAGGGAUUAACAAAAUGACAUGCUGUGUCAAUAUUGCGUGAAGUAGUUGCAGUGCGUAAUUUGAGGUAGCAACCAUCCACUGGUAUGGACAGGGGUAUGGCAACAAAAAACGGGACUGCGCCAUUAUAAAAGAAUGCCCCAAGUGCCACAAAUCCACUAAACGACCACUAAACGAGAUCUAAACGACUCAAGGGCUCAGCCUA